GGCGUCGCCCCUACCUCUUUUGAAUUUGUUAGUCGAUGGCACCACCACGUCGGUACUCGACAGCUUUUUUUUCUUAAUUUUAACAAUGGUGAAUAAGUACAAGCUCACAGCAAAACGCACUGUUCAUAUAACAAAUGGAUUUGAGGCUUGUAUUCUCAGUAGGUCACACAGGACAUGUGGGAUGGCAGUCAUGGUGAGUUACAGUAAAGUAAACUUUAAUGUUUCAUGAAGUUGACAGUGAUGAAAACUGUGAAUAGGAAGUGCCGUCCGAUGCGACAACUGACGAUGUUUCAUACUCACUAUUCUGAGCCCCAACUUGUGUGGUUUCUCAGGGCUAAAGUAUACCCACUGCAAAUGUAAUAAACAUUAUUUUAUUCUCUUUUAUCAAUACAGCCUCCAAUGUUGCCAACUGACGAUGAUGGAUAAAGCCAGACUCAGGUUGGUUUUCUUUGUCUUUUGUUAUUUAAAUUAAUUUAAAUAAAUUGUAUUGAUGAACUCUAAACUGAAAUAGCUGGAAUUACCGGCAGAUUGUUCAGUGGUGACUCUCGGUUUUCUGAACAUUAAAAGUUGUUACAUUACAGUGAAUGGACUUUAACUUAAAAAUAACAUUUGUGUUCUGUAGCUGAAACAACUUGAGCUGCCACACGAGAUGUGAAGGCCAGGAAAUGCAGCUGUUUACACGAUCUGAGUGGGUAAGUUUGUCGUCAUUGUCGAAUUUCACCCCAAGUAUGUAGGCUGAUCAACUCUCAGUUCUUAAUUAAUGUUGCCAUCUUUAUAGCUAAUGUGUCUUUUCAUUCUUUCAGAGCUGCCAUGCAGCACACUGUGCUACUAACUCAACCAGCCGCCUGAAGUAUCAGAUUCUCCAGGUUGCCUUGGUGCUUUAAGAUUCUUCUGAAAGACACUGGUCAGUGUCCAAGGAGGAGGAUGCUGCUGCGGCCAAGACUUUUGACAUGCUCUUGGUUGCAUUGGUGCUUUAAGAUUCUUCUGGAAGACACUGGUUAAAGGGAUACUUCACCUGGUGAAACACGAAUCUGGAUUGUAAUUGGGUCAUACAUGUAGUAGUGGGAAAUACUUUUUUGAAGUUGGUGCCUUCUUGGCAGAGAAAAGGCAGAAAGUGUCUUUUGGGGUAAUGUGGAUGAAAGACAACAACUCCCAGAAUGCACAACCAUUCAAAAAUACUACCAGGUUUCUAAUGGCACAAAGCUUAAUGCAAAUUGGUGAAGUAUCCCUUUAAUCUCUGAGGAUGCUGCUGCAGCCCAGACUCUUGACACAUCCAUGGUGUCACUCUGCCAGUUGAAGGCUGUCUUCAGAGGUCUGACAUCAACAGGUUGCCUUGGUGCUUUAACAUUCUUCUGAAAGACACUGGUCAGUUUCCAAGGAUGCUGCUGCAGCAAAGACUUUUGACAUGCUCUCGUUUUGAAUGGAGUGGUUGCAGGAACUCGCCUUGGUAUUCCUGCAAGCUGAAUGUGAUAUCAAGAGUGGACAUGACCACUGCUGUGAAGAUGGAUGAUGUGAAUGUUUGAAAAAUGAGGAGAUGGAUUUGUGUUAUUACAAUAAAUGUCAUAAAAAGACUGGGUUGUUGUUGGUCU